ACGGAGGGUGCAAGCGUUGUUCGGAAUUACUGGGCGUAAAGGGCGGGCAGGUGGUCUGCUAAGUCGUCUGUGAAAAUCCGGGGCUCAACCCCGUGAAAUGCAGGCGAAACUGACAGACUAGAGACCAGUAGAGGCUAGCGGAAUUCCUGGUGUAGCGGUGGAAUGCGUAGAUAUCAGGAAGAACACCUGUGGCGAAGGCGGCUAGCUGGGCUGGAUCUGACACUCAUCCGCGAAAGCGUGGGGAGCAAACAGG
rnacentral:rRNA from 1 species